rnacentral:rRNA from 1 species
CCUACGGGAGGCAGCAGUGGGGAAUAUUGCGCAAUGGGGGAAACCCUGACGCAGCAACGCCGCGUGAGUGAAGAAGGCUUUCGGGUCGUAAAACUCUGUCUUAAGGGAGGAAUAAUGACAGUACCUUAAGAGGAAGCCCCGGCUAACUACGUGCCAGCAGCCGCGGUAAA